GUAAAUGCCCGAAUCCUGACACAGGGAGGUAGUGACAAGAAAUAACAAUACAGGGCUACUUCUAGUCUUGUAAUUGGAAUGAGUACAACUUACAUCUCUUCACGAGGAUCAAUUGGAGGGCAAGUCUGGUGCCAGCAGCCGCGGUAAUUCCAGCUCCAAUAGCGUAUAUUAAAGUUGUUGCAGUUAAAAAGCUCGUAGUCGGAUUUCGGGUCGGGCCGAGCGGUCUGCCGAUGGGUAUGCACUGUUCGGCGCGGCCUUCUUUCCGGAGACCGCGGCUACUCUUAACUGAGCGGGCGUGGGAGACGGAUCGUUUACUUUGAAAAAAUCAGAGUGUUUCAAGCAGGCAGCUCGCUCUUGCAUGGAUUAGCAUGGGAUAAUGAAAUAGGACUCUGGUGCUAUUUUGUUGGUUUCGAACACCGGAGUAAUGAUUAACAGGGACAGUCAGGGGCA
rnacentral:rRNA from 1 species